rnacentral:tRNA from 1 species
AUUAAUUUAAUUAAAAUAAAAACAUUGUAUUAAAAUUUUAUUUUAAUAAUUUAUUUU